rnacentral:rRNA from 1 species
UACGUAGGGGGCAAGCGUUGUCCGGAUUUAUUGGGUUUAAAGGGUGCGUAGGCGGCUUUUUAAGUCAGGGGUGAAAGACAGUAGCUCAACUAUCGCAGUGCCCUUGAUACUGAAGAGCUUGAAUGUACUUGAGGUAGGCGGAAUGUGACAAGUAGCGGUGAAAUGCAUAGAUAUGUCACAGAACACCAAUUGCGAAGGCAGCUUACUAAAGUAUGAUUGACGCUGAGGCACGAAAGCGUGGGGAUCAAACAGG